rnacentral:rRNA from 1 species
AAUUCGAUUAGAGUUUGAUCCUGGCUCAGAUUGAACGCUGGCGGCAUGCCUUACACAUGCAAGUCGAACGGCAGCACGGGAGCUUGCUCCUGGUGGCGAGUGGCGAACGGGUGAGUAAUACAUCGGAACGUACCCAGGAGUGGGGGAUAACGUAGCGAAAGUUACGCUAAUACCGCAUAUUCUGUGAGCAGGAAAGCGGGGGAUCGCAAGACCUCGCGCUCUUGGAGCGGCCGAUGUCGGAUUAGCUAGUUGGUGAGGUAAAAGCUCACCAAGGCGACGAUCCGUAGCAGGUCUGAGAGGAUGAUCUGCCACACUGGGACUGAGACACGGCCCAGACUCCUACGGGAGGCAGCAGUGGGGAAUUUUGGACAAUGGGGGCAACCCUGAUCCAGCCAUGCCGCGUGAGUGAAGAAGGCCUUCGGGUUGUAAAGCUCUUUCGGCGGGGAAGAAAUGGCAACGGCUAAUAUCCGUUGUUGAUGACGGUACCCGCAUAAGAAGCACCGGCUAACUACGUGCCAGCAGCCGCGGUAAUACGUAGGGUGCGAGCGUUAAUCGGAAUUACUGGGCGUAAAGCGUGCGCAGGCGGUUUCGUAAGACAGACGUGAAAUCCCCGGGCUCAACCUGGGAACUGCGUUUGUGACUGCGAGGCUAGAGUACGGCAGAGGGGGGUAGAAUUCCACGUGUAGCAGUGAAAUGCGUAGAGAUGUGGAGGAAUACCGAUGGCGAAGGCAGCCCCC